AAUUAAUAAGCAUAGUUAUUUAUCCAAAAAUACAUUUCUAUCUGCCAUGGCAGUCUACAAGAGCCCCUCGUCUUUUCCCAGCCGUUGUUCUAAUAUUUGUACAAAAAAUUGCAGAUAAUGGAGUUAUUAGUCCAUCUCUUGUUGCAUGUAGAGCUACUCCUCAGAAGUGGACCAUUCUAGAAGCAACUUAUGAACUCUCUAAACACCACCAAAUUAUUCUGAAUGAAAGAAGUUUUAAGGUUAUUUAUGUUCUAUACUAUAUAUUUAUAUAUAUAUUUUUUAUAUUAUGUGCCGGUGUAUAUUUUUACACUUUUAUAUUAUGUGUCGAUUUAUAUUUUUACACUUUUCCAUAUUCUUAAAAUCUUGUAAAAGCCAAACAAAGAGGGGGAAAAAGCUCAACCUGCGGGAAUGUAAAAACCAUGUUCUCUCAAGAGUCUGAAGAAAAGUGAAAGAUCAUGAAGAGAGUAUCCAUCAAAAGAAGUGGCUUCCAUAUAAUGUCGCCAGAGAACUGAUUCAAUCUCUUCCUGAAAAUGGUAGUCAACACCUAGUCGCUGGAUAGCAUCCACCAACAUUGAGCUUUCUAUUUGAUUUUCUAAUUCCUCUGAUUUCAAUAAUUCCCUGACAUCCUUCAGUUUUUGUUCAUAUUCCGUGGAAAAUUCAUCCUGCAAGUAAGACUGGUUUUUGCUUUACACUUUUUCAUAACUAUUUUUAUGCGGAAAUUUCCAUAACUAUAUAUUUAUAUACUUUUUUAUAUUUUUUAUACUUGAUGAUAGUGACUUGUCGGCGGGACUAUUUCUCCCGGAAAUUGUUGAUGAGAAGAUGAGACCAACUUGUGAAUACCGUAGGGUUAUACAUUAAACUAAAAAUUACUUCCUAAUAGUCACUCCAGAUGAAGUGAAGAAAUUCUUCCAAUAUGAUCCAUACACAGAAGAUGAUAAUGACAUACUUGUGGGAGAUUUCUUUACUGUACAAAAUUAUAAAAGGAUUGAAACCCAAAUAAUUUCAAAUGAGACAAAUAACUUGUUCUCAGGAAAUUAUUCGUCAUUCAACCUGAAGAACUAACAAAUGAAGACGAAAACCAUAUAGAAAUCAAGGAAUAAAUUAUAAGGGGGUAAAUUCAAAGAAGACGAAAUUAACAUGCAAGUCGAUAAGCAGAUCGAAGUCUAGUUAAGUUUGAAUUGAGUGAUUUAGGCUAUUCAUAUCAUAUUCAAAAGGACAAAGUAAGGUUUUGGAAUAUAUACCAAUUAUGGUGUUAAGAUAUUAUUUUUAUUGUAUCUUUUCAGGUAUGAUGAAAAUAUCGUACAAGAAUACGAAAAGAAAGGAGAGUAAAAGUCAAGGGCUAAAGGAGAGACCUUAUAAACACGGUGAGUAUUGCAGCCCUUUCUUUAAACCUAUUUUGUGCACACAUUAAGUACAAAGUGUAUAAAAAUAUUGCCUUAUUUUAUUUUGAUAAUCUGAGUUGGUUAGGCUUGCUGGCCUAACGAUUAUGGUUAUUUGAAAUUUCUUAUGAAGCAUAAAUUGAGACUAGGUAAUGUAUUUAUUUAUUUUGCUAAUUUGAUACUUAUACAUUUUUUAUCGUAUUCAAUAGAGUAUAUAAUCAUGAUAAUGAAUAUGAAUUUUUGGAUUGUUUACGGUAAUACAAUAUGUUGAAUGAACUUUACGUCUGUUUCAAUCCUACCUACUACUGGAAUAUAAAUAUAAAAAAACAACCACUUGACCAACUGGAAUGACUAGUUUGGGGAUGGUUGAUCUGUAUUGAAAAUCCUACCUACUACAAAAGAGAGGAUGGAGUUUUACUGUUCAUUUUUGGGCCAUUUUCACACUAGGAUUGGUUUCAAACUGGUUCAUUCUGUUGUUUUAAUAACGCAUGGGUCGACUUUGACCAAUAAAUAAUGAAAUUGAGAAAACGCAGCUAAAAAUGGACAUAAGUAUUUACGUGAUUCACCCAAAUUUUGGCUACGUUCACGGGCAAGUAUAGGAGGAUUUUACUAUAGUAGGAGAAUUACAACAACUCUCUAAAUACAAGGGGAUACCAACAAUUAAUAUCUCUUUUAAUAGAAAAAACAAGUAGGAAAUACUAUAGGAAGAAACAAUAAUUUUUCUCUCUAUUUUUAUCUCUCUACUCACAAUUUUCUCUCCACUCAAUAUUUUCUUUUCUCUCAAUUUUUUUCUCUCCAACACGGCUUAUUUCACUUGGCGUGUUAAUUCUCUAUUUAUAGAGAAAUUUGGCUUCAAACCGUCUCACUUUGUUUGGCUCAAAACUUGCCAUCAAGGUGCAUAUGAAAGAGGAGAGUAGGAUGCAUGUGAGAGCCUGGUUGGAGAAUUAAUAGCCUUGCAUGUGGGAGACUUGUUCAUAAAGAAAGUGGCUGGACCAAAGCUCAAAAAUUCCACUGCCUAUGUAUUAAAUGCUUGCAUGAAUUUUGUCAUUUUGUAGUUAAAAUUUGUGGCUUUAAUUUUCAACAUUUCUCCCACUUAAAGUCACUUUUGUUGACCACUUCAAUCCUACCCAUACUUGCCAUUUCCAUGCCACUUACGUUUCUGCCAAGCCGAUAGAGGAUCGACACCAAAUGAACUUGUCAGUACCGAUUGGCUUUGUCAACAUAUCUGCUAGGUUGUCCAUUGUAUGGAUUUUCUAUAUAUCCACACUUCCUUUUUCUACCUUCUCUCGAACAAAGUGAUACUAGACUCGAAUAUGCUUUGUCCUCUGAUGAAAUACUGGAUUCUUUACCAAAUGCAAAGCACUCUGACUAUCACAAAAUAGAGUAAUCUUCUCUUGUUUGUGUCCGAGCUCCUCCAUUAACAUUUGUAACAAGAUUGUCUCUUUCCUGGCUUGUGUAGCUGCCACGUAUUCUGCUCCGUCGUAGAAGUAGCCACGAUAGGCUGUAGUUUCGAAACCCAGCCUACAGCUCCUCCAGCAAGAGUAAACACAUAUCCAGUGGUGGACUUACUUUUGUCAAGAUCACCUGCAUAAUCUGAAUCAACAUAGCCUCUGACAAUAAAAUCUGAUCCGCCAUAACAUAAUGUAACAUUUGAGGUACCCUUGACAUAUCUCAGGAUCCUCUUUACAGUACUCCAAUGCUCUUUAUCAAGAUUUGCCAUGUAUCGACUAACCACUCCUACUGCUUGUGCAAUGUCUGGUCUUGUACAGAUCAUAACAAACAUCAGGCUACCCACUACUGAUGCAUACGGUACUCGAGACAUCUCCACUUUCUCUGCUUCUUUGCUAGGACUCAUACUUGAGGAUAACUUAAAAUUAAUAGGAAGAGGGGUAGAAAUUGGCUUACAAUCUUUCAUAUUGAAGCGAUGCAAGAUUUUCUUCAAGUAGUUCUUCUAAUUAAGCCAAAUCUUUCUAUUAUUUCUGUCUCGAUAAAUUUGCAUCCCUAGAAUCUUGUUUGUUGGUCCCAAGUCCUUCAUUUCAAACUCCCUAGCUAACUGUGCCAUCAAAUUAUCAAUACGAUCUUUGUUCGAGCCUAUUACCAACAUGUCAUCAACAUACAACAGCAGAAUAAUGAAAUCAUUAUCACCAAAUCUCAUCUAGUAUGCACAUGGAUCUUAACUAAGUUUGUUGUAUCCAAGGCUCAUGAUGAAGGAAUCAAAUCUCUUAUACCAACAUCUCGGCACCUGUUUGAGACCGUAUAGAGAUUUGUUCAACCUGCAAACCAAGUUCUCUUUUCCUUUUUCUUCAAAACCUUCUGGUUGGAGCAUAUAAAUCUCUUCUUCAAGUUCUCCAUGAAGAAAUGCAAUUUUUACAUCUAAUUGCUCGAAGUGUAAGUCAAAUGUAGUACACAUUCCCAAGACUACUCGAAUUGUUGUGGUCGAACCACAGGAAAAAAUAUUUCGUUGAAGUCUAUGCCUUCUUUCUGAGCAUACCCUUUCACCACCAGUCUCGCACGAUACCGCUCCACUUGGUCAUUGCUAUCUCGUUUUAUCUUAUAGACCCAUUUAUUCCCAAUGGCCUUCCUUCCAUGUGGUAGUGGAACAAGAUUCCAUGUCUUGUUCUUAUGAAGAGUUUCAAUUUCUUCUUGCAUUACAGCCAUCCACUGAGAAACUUCUUGGCUAUUUAUAGCCUCAUGAAAAGUUGAUGGCUCUCCAUCUUCUGUCAAUAAGUAGUAUGCAACAUUACCCUCCAUAAUGUAAUAUGAGUGCCAAGCCAGUUCUCUUCUCUUCCGUGUUGAUCGUUGAACAUUUGGAGCACCAGAUUCAGCUUGUUCUUCAUGUUCUAGUGUUGCUUCAGAAGAAUCUAUAUCUACUCGUUCGUCUCCAACUUCGACUGUAGUAGUCUCUGGUUUUUCUUUUGAAGUGCUAUCAUUUCCUUUUUCCUGUGUUUUGGCUUCUGCAAAUAUGACAUCUCUACUGAUUAUCACCUUAUGGGUAGUGGGAUCCCCCAGGCGGUACCCCUUAACUCCAUUAGGAUACCCUAAGAAAAUACAUUUUCUAGAUUUUGGAUCCAGCUUUGAUGUUUCUUGGGUGUUUUACAUAACGUACACAGGACUUCCAAAUAUACGUAAGUGAGAAUAAUUAGCCGGUUUAUUAGUCCACAUUUCCAUCGGUGUCUUCAAGUCAAUUGCGGUUGAUGGCGACUGAUUGAUCACAUAACAGGUAGUUUUGACUGCUUCUGCCCAGAAUGACUUGGCUAACUUUGAAGUUCUCAACAUUGCUCUUGUUCUUUCUAACAAUGUUCUGUUCAUCCGCUCUGCCACUCCAUUUCGCUGUAGAGUGUAUGCCACUAUGAACUGUCUCUUGAUACCUUCUUGUUGACAGAAGUUAUCAAAUUAAUCACCAGUAUAUUCUUUUCCAUUGUCAGUCCUCAGACACUUGAUCUUCUUUUCAAAUUCAAGCUCCACAUGUGCUUUGAAUACUUUGAAGACUACAAACACGUCUGCCUUUCUCUUAAUUGGAUACACCCAACGUCUCCUGGAGUAAUCAUCAAUAAAAGAUACAAAGUAUCUUGCACCUCCUAGGGACAUAACCGGUGCUUGCCAAACUCGAAAUGGACCAGUUCCAAGAUAGCUUUACUUCUAGGAGUAGAACCAUUGAACUUCAAUCUGUGCUAUUUACUAGUAAUACAAUGCUCACAAAAGGGUAAUGAAACCUUUUUGAGACCUGGAAGAAGCUUUUGUUCUGAGAGAAUUUUCAAACCACGUUCCGACAUGUGACCAAGCUUGCGAUGCCACAUCAUCGUUAAUUCUUCUGCUGAACCUGUCGAUGCGACAGAUGCUUCUCCUUCUUAUAGUGUUUUCCUUUAAGCAUGUACAAAUUUGCAGCUAUCUUUUCUGCUUUUAUCACCACAAGCGCGCCUCUAAUUAUUUUCAUAAUCCCAUCUUGUAUAUGGGUUUUGCAACCAAUGCUAUCUAAUUGUCCUAAAGACAAUAGAUUUUUCUUCAAGCCUUUUACGCGCCGUACCUCCUGAAUAGUGCAAAUUGUAUCAUCAUACAUUUUCAAUUUGAUGGUACCAAUACCAGCGAUCUCCAAGGCACAAUCAUUUUCCAUAAACACAGAUCCUCCUGGAAUAAUCUCAUAUUGAUGGAACCAUUCCCUCAUUGGUGUCAUGUGCCAUGUAGCUCCUGAAUACAUAAGCCAGACAUUAGAAAAUUUAUUUCUGCCUUCAACAAUUGUUGUUGCCUCGCUGUACAAAAUUUCACCAUCAUCUGAGGUGCUUGCUACACAACCCUGAGCUUUUGACAUCUCAGGACCUUUUUCUUUGGCUUCUUCAUUCUUCUUAAAGCUCCAACAAUCCCUUUUUAAAUGCCCUUUCUUGCCACAGUAAUGACACUUGACAUUUUUAUUACUCUUGAAUUUUGAUCUACUCUGAUUAUGACUCCCACUGGAGCCACGUUCCGUUGAUCUCUCUCUCAUCAUCAUUAAAGCUUCCACCUGAUGCAAACUUGUCGAUCUAUCCUCCUCAUUUUUUUUGCCGACUUUCUUCUUCAAGAACAGCAGCUACAAUAAGACUAGAGUUUCAAGGUUGUUGGUUAAGUUGAUGAUGAGUAGAUCAUACGAAUCUGGCAGACUUUGAAGUAAGAUUUCAGCACGUUCACCCGCCUCUAUAUUAUACUCCAUUGAUGUGAGCUGUGAAAAUAAAGUGUUGAGGGUGUUGAUGUGGUCGGUCACCGUAGUUGACUCCAUCAUCCGAAGGGUGUAAAGCUUCCUCUUCAAGAAGAUUUUGUUGUGUAACGAUUUGGCCUCGUACUGUUUUGUCAGCAUAUCCCAUAUAUUCUUUCGCCGUCUUUUUCUCUACCAUACUUGACAAUACUCCAUCGGCUAGUGCAAGGUGCAGAUUAGCAACUGCAUUGCUAUCCAUCUCGUUCCACUUAGUAUCAUCAAUGAUCUUCACAGGCCUUUGUCCAAUUGCCGCCAAGCAGUUAUCUUUCCGCAAAACUGCUUUUAUUCUCAUUUUCCAUAAUGAGAAAUUAUUCCCAUUGAACUUUUCAAUCUCAUACUUUGUCGCCAUUUUGUUCACCAAUAAUAUAACUAAACAACGACCCUACACAGAACCUUGCUCUGAUACCACUGUUGUUUUAAUAACGCGUGGGUCGACUUUGACUAACAAAUAAUGAAAUUGAGAAAACGCGGCUAAAAAUGGAUACAAGUAUUUACGUGAUUCACCCAAAUUUUGGCUACGUCCACAGGCAAAUAUAUGAGGAUUUUACUAUAGUAGGAGAAUUAUAAAAACUCUCUAAAUACAAGGAGAUACCAACAAUUAAUCUCUCUUGUAAUAGAAAAAACAAGUAGGAAAUACUAUAGGAAGAAACAAUAAUUUUUCUCUCUAUUUUUAUCUCUCUACUCACAAUUUUCACUCUACUCAAUCUUUUCUUUUCUCUCAAUUUUUUUCUCUCCAACACGGCUUAUUUCACUUGGCAUGUUAGUUCUCUAUUCAUAGAGAAAUUUGGCUUCAAACNGUAGAAGUAGCCACGAUAGACUGUAGUUUCGAAACCCAGCUUACAGCUCCUCCAGCAAGAGUAAACACAUAUCCAGUGAUGGACUUACUUUUGUCAAGAUCACCUGCAUAAUCUGAAUCAACAUAGCCUCUGACAAUAAAAUCUGAUCCGCCAUAACAUAAUGUAACAUUUGAGGUACCCUUGACAUAUCUCAGGAUCCUCUUUACAGUACUCCAAUGCUCUUUAUCAAGAUUUGCCAUGUAUCGACUAACCACUCCUACUGCUUGUACAAUGUCUGGUCUUGUACAGAUCAUAACAAACAUCAGGCUACCCACUACUGAUGCAUACGGUACUCUAGACAUCUCCACUUUCUCUGCUUCUUUGCUAGGACUCAUACUUGAGGAUAACUUAAAAUUAAUAGGAAGAGGGGUAGAAAUUGGCUUACAAUCUUUCAUAUUGAAGCGAUGCAAGAUUUUCUUCAAGUAGUUCUUCUAAUUAAGCCAAAUCUUUCUAUUAUUUCUGUCUCGAUAAAUUUGCAUCCAUAGAAUCUUGUUUGUUGGUCCCAAGUCCUUCAUUUCAAACUCCCUAGCUAACUGUGCCAUCAAAUUAUCAAUACGAUCUUUGUUCGAGCCUAUUACCAACAUGUCAUCAACAUACAACAGCAGAAUAAUGAAAUCAUUAUCACCAAAUCUCAUCUAGUAUGCACAUGGAUCUUAACUAAGUUUGUUGUAUCCAAGGCUCAUGAUGAAGGAAUCAAAUCUCUUAUACCAACAUCUCGGCACCUGUUUAAGACCGUAUAGAGAUUUGUUCAACCUGCAAACCAAGUUCUCUUUUCCUUUUUCUUCAAAACCUUCUGGUUGGAGCAUAUAAAUCUCUUCUUCAAGUUCUCCAUGAAGAAAUGCAAUUUUUACAUCUAAUAGCUCGAAGUGUAAGUCAAAUGUAGUACACAUUCCCAAGACUACUCGAAUUGUUGUGGUCGAACCACAGGAAAAAAUAUUUCGUUGAAGUCUAUGCCUUCUUUCUGAGCAUACCCUUUCACCACCAGUCUCGCACGAUACCGCUCCACUUGGUCAUUGCUAUCUCGUUUUAUCUUAUAGACCCAUUUAUUCCCAAUGGCCUUCCUUCCAUGUGGUAGUGGAACAAGAUUCCAUGUCUUGUUCUUAUGAAGAGUUUCAAUUUCUUCUUGCAUUACAGCCAUCCACUGAGAAACUUCUUGGCUAUUUAUAGCCUCAUGAAAAGUUGAUGGCUCUCCAUCUUCUGUCAAUAAGUAGUAUGCAACAUUACCCUCCAUAAUGUAAUAUGAGUGCCAAGCCAGUUCUCUUCUCUUCCGUGUUGAUCGUUGAACAUUUGGAGCACCAGAUUCAGCUUGUUCUUCAUGUUCUAGUGUUGCUUCAGAAGAAUCUAUAUCUACUCGUUCGUCUCCAACUUCGACUGUAGUAGUCUCUGGUUUUUCUUUUGAAGUGCUAUCAUUUCCUUUUUCCUGUGUUUUGGCUUCUGCAAAUAUGACAUCUCUACUGAUUAUCACCUUAUGGGUAGUGGGAUCCCCCAGGCGGUACCCCUUAACUCCAUUAGGAUACCCUAAGAAAAUACAUUUUCUAGAUUUUGGAUCCAGCUUUGAUGUUUCUUGGGUGUUUUACAUAACGUACACAGGACUUCCAAAUAUAUGUAAGUGAGAAUAAUUAGCCGGUUUAUUAGUCCACAUUUCCAUCGGUGUCUUCAAGUCAAUUGCGGUUGAUGGCGACUGAUUGAUCACAUAACAGGUGGUUUUGACUGCUUCUGCCCAGAAUGACUUGGCUAACUUUGAAGUUCUCAACAUUGCUCUUGUUCUUUCUAACAAUGUUCUGUUCAUCCGCUCUGCCACUCCAUUUCGCUGUAGAGUGUAUGCCACUAUGAACUGUCUCUUGAUACCUUCUUGUUGACAGAAGUUAUCAAAUUAAUCACCAGUAUAUUCUUUUCCAUUGUCAGUCCUCAGACACUUGAUCUUCUUUUCAAAUUCAAGCUCCACAUGUGCUUUGAAUACUUUGAAGACUACAAACACGUCUGCCUUUCUCUUAAUUGGAUACACCCAACGUCUCCUGGAGUAAUCAUCAAUAAAAGAUACAAAGUAUCUUGCACCUCCUAGGGACAUAACCGGUGCUUGCCAAACUCGAAAUGGACCAGUUCCAAGAUAGCUUUACUUCUAGGAGUAGAACCAUUGAACUUCAAUCUGUGCUAUUUACUAGUAAUACAAUGCUCACAAAAGGGUAAUGAAACCUUUUUGAGACCUGGAAGAAGCUUUUGUUCUGAGAGAAUUUUCAAACCACGUUCCGACAUGUGACCAAGCUUGCGAUGCCACAUCAUCGUUAAUUCUUCUGCUGAACCUGUCGAUGCGACAUAUGCUUCUCCUUCUUAUAGUGUUUCUCCUUUAAGCAUGUACAAAUUUGCAGCUAUCUUUUUUGCUUUUAUCACCACAAGCGCGCCUCUGAUUAUUUUCAUAAUCCCAUCUUGUAUAUGGGUUUUGCAACCAAUGCUAUCUAAUUGUCCUAAAGACAAUAGAUUUUUCUUCAAGCCUUUUACGUGCCGUACCUCCUGAAUAGUGCAAAUUGUAUCAUCAUACAUUUUCAAUUUGAUGGUACCAAUACCAGCGAUCUCCAAGGCACAAUCAUUUUCCAUAAACACAGAUCCUCCUGGAAUAAUCUCAUAUUGAUGGAACCAUUCCCUCAUUGGUGUCAUGUGCCAUGUAGCUCCUGAAUCCAUAAGCCAGACAUUAGAAAAUUUAUUUCUGCCUUCAACAAUUGUUGUUGCCUCGCUGUACAAAAUUUCACCAUCAUCUGAGGUGCUUGCUACACAACCCUGAGCUUUUGACAUCUCAGGACCUUUUUCUUUGGCUUCUUCAUUCUUCUUAAAGCUCCAACAAUCCCUUUUUAAAUGCCCUUUCUUGCCACAGUAAUGACACUUGACAUUUUUAUUACUCUUGAAUUUUGAUCUACUCUGAUUAUGACUCCCACUGGAGCCACGUUCCGUUGAUCUCCCUCUCAUCAUCAUUAAAGCUUCCACCUGAUGCAAACUUGUCGAUCUAUCCUCCUCAUUUUUUUUGCCGACUUUCUUCUUCAAGAACAGCAGCUACAAUAAGACUAGAGUUUCAAGGUUGUUGGUUAAGUUGAUGAUGAGUAGAUCAUACGAAUCUGGCAGACUUUGAAGUAAGAUUUCAGCACGUUCACCCGCCUCUAUAUUAUGCUCCAUUGAUGUGAGCUGUGAAAAAAAAGUGUUGAGGGUGUUGAUGUGGUCGGUUACCGUAGUUGACUCCAUCAUCCGAAGGGUGUAAAGCUUCCUCUUCAAGAAGAUUUUGUUGUGUAACGAUUUGGCCUCGUACUGUUUUGUCAGCAUAUCCCAUAUUUCUUUCGCCGUCUUUUUCUCUACCACACUUGACAAUACUCCAUCGGCUAGUGCAAGGUGCAGAUUAGCAACUGCAUUGCUAUCCAUCUCGUUCCACUUAGUAUCAUCAAUGAUCUUCACAGGCCUUUGUCCAAUUGCCGCCAAGCAGUUAUCUUUCCGCAAAACUGCUUUUAUUCUCAUUUUCCAUAAUGAGAAAUUAUUCCCAUUGAACUUUUCAAUCUCAUACUUUGUCGCCAUUUUGUUCACCAAUAAUAUAACUAAACAACGACCCUACACAGAACCUUGCUCUGAUACCACUGUUGUUUUAAUAACGCGUGGGUCGACUUUGACUAACAAAUAAUGAAAUUGAGAAAACGCGGCUAAAAAUGGAUACAAGUAUUUACGUGAUUCACCCAAAUUUUGGCUACGUCCACGGGCAAAUAUAUGAGGAUUUUACUAUAGUAGGAGAAUUAUAAAAACUCUCUAAAUACAAGGAGAUAUCAACAAUUAAUCUCUCUUGUAAUAGAAAAAACAAGUAGGAAAUACUAUAGGAAGAAACAAUAAUUUUUCACUCUAUUUUUAUCUCUCUACUCACAAUUUUCACUCUACUCAAUCUUUUCUUUUCUCUCAAUUUUUUUCUCUCCAACACGGCUUAUUUCACUUGGCAUGUUAGUUCUCUAUUCAUAGAGAAAUUUGGCUUCAAACUGUCUCACUUUGUUUCGCUCAAAACCUGCCAUCAAGGUGCAUAUGAAAGAGGAGAGUAGGAUGUAUAUGAGAACCUCGUUAGACAAUUAAUAGCCUUGCAUGUGGGAGACUUGUUCAUGAAGAAAGUGGCUGGACCAAAGCUCAAAAAUUCCACUGCCUAUGUAUUAAAUGCUUGCAUGAAUUUUAUCAUUUUGUAGUCAACAUUUGUGGCUUUAAUUUUCAACACAUUCACUGUUGUCAACUGGUUUUUCUACUAUUCAUCAAUAAACAUCUCACUAUUGUCCUCUUGCAUGUCUCUUCUCAACCCACUUUCUUCCUCUUUCGCUUCUUUUUCUCUUUCGCUUCUUUUCCCACCAUCUUCAAAUUUUUCCCAGAAUUCCUUCGUAGAAAAUAAUCAUAGCUCUCUUUUUUUCAAUUCUCUAACCACGUUUACAUUUUUCCCCGAAUCACAACAAUAUAGGUUCUCGAAAAGGAAAACAAUUAAAUACAUAAUUCUGUGCUUUCCGUAACUGAAUCCAUUUCCUUUUCGAUAAUGGAAGAAUAAAAUUAUGUUGCCGGUCUCAGACGAUGUGCCGGAGCGGAGGUUGUGAGAACAUCGGAGGCUACGGUGAUGAUGUUGGUUUCCUGCUCUUUUUCGUCUGCAUUUUUCACUUUAGUUUGUAAAAGGUCUCGGGUAUACUUGUUUAUGUAUAUUUUCUAUAACAUAUUUUAUACAUAAUUUUUUUUAUAUUAUGUGUAAAAAGAAGUUUUAAGAACAUGGUUUUUACACUUUAUAUAUUUUUAUAUUUUUUUAUAUUAUGUGUCGAGGAAAUUUCUGCACAAAAAUAGUUAUGGAAAAGUGUAAAGCAAAAACCAAUCUUACUUGCAGGAUGAAUUUUCCACGGAAUAUGAACAAAAACUGAAGGAUGUCAAGGAAUUAUUGAAAUCAGAGGAAUUAGAAAAUCAAAUAGAAAGCCUAAUGUUGGUGGAUGCUAUCUAGCGUCUAAGUGUUGACUACCAUUUUCAGGAAGAGAUUGAAUCAGUUCUUCGGUGACAUUAUAAGGAAGCCACUUCUUUUGAUGGAUACACUCUUCAUGAUCUUUCACUUUUCUUCAGACUCUUGAGAGAACAUGAUUUUUACAUUCCCGCAGGUUGAGCUUUUUCCCCCUCUUUGUUUGGUGCUUGUUUUUGUUAAUUACCCAUGACUAGGGCUGGGCAAAUCUCCCGAA
rnacentral:lncRNA from 1 species